CAGUCUGCCAGCUCUCAAGAUGCCUGUUUGUGUCUGUGUGUCAUCUGAAGAGAGUGAGUCAGGAGGAAAUGUGAACAGCACUGGGAUGGGUUGUGCUCCUAGCAGCAGGAGGUUCAUGGAGAGGACGGGAGGCGGGGGUCCUGGGCCCACCCUCUCUCUGCACUUGGCUGAGUGAGUCAUUUGCUCCUGGCUCAGGAAGAUCUCUGCCAACGAUUCUCUAACAA